rnacentral:misc_RNA from 1 species
GAACGCACCUUGCGCUCUUUGGUAUUCCGAAGAGCAUGCCUGUUUGAGUGUCAUGAAAAUAUCAACCUUGACUUGGGUUUAGUGCUCUUGUCUUGGCUUGGAUUUGGCUGUUUGCCGCUCGAAAGAGUCGGCUCAGCUUAAAAGUAUUAGCUGGAUCUGUCUUUGAGACUUGGUUUGACUUGGCGUAAUAAGUUAUUUCGCUGAGGACAAUCUUCGGAUUGGCCGAGUUUCUGGGACGUUUGUCCGCUUUCUAAUACAAGUUCUAGCUUGCUAGACAUGACUUUUUUAUUAUCUGGCCUCAAAUCAGGUAGGACUACCCGCUGAACUUA